UACGAAGGGGGGCUAGCGCUGUUCGGAAUUACUGGGCGUAAAGCGCACGUAGGCGGAUAUUUAAGUCAGGGGUGAAAUCCCAGAGCUCAACUCUGGAACUGCCUUUGAUACUGGGUAUCUCGAGUAUGGAAGAGGUGAGUGGAAUUCCGAGUGUAGAGGUGAAAUUCGUAGAUAUUCGGAGGAACACCAGUGGCGAAGGCUGCUCACUGGUCCAUUACUGACGCUGAGGUGCGAAAGCGUGGGGAGCAAACGGG
rnacentral:rRNA from 1 species